UACAGAGGUCCCAAGCGUUGUUCGGAUUCACUGGGCGUAAAGGGUGCGUAGGUGGCCAGGUAAGUUCGGUGUGAAAGCUCGAAGCUUAACUCCGAAAUGUCAUUGAAUACUAUCUGGCUGGAGGGUCGGAGGGGAGACUGGAAUUCUCGGUGUAGCAGUGAAAUGCGUAGAUAUCGAGAGGAACACCAGUGGCGAAGGCGAGUCUCUGGACGACUCCUGACACUGAGGCACGAAAGCUAGGGGAGCAAACAGG
rnacentral:rRNA from 1 species